GGUUCUUUUUUGUUGGUUUCUAGGACCGCCGUAAUGAUUAAUAGGGACAGUCGGGGGCAUCAGUAUUCAAUUGUCAGAGGUGAAAUUCUUGGAUUUAUUGAAGACUAACUACUGCGAAAGCAUUUGCCAAGGAUGUUUUCAUUAAUCAAGAACGAAGGUUAGGGUAUCGAAAACGAUUAGAUACCGUUGUAGUCUUAACAGUAAACUAUGCCGACUAGGGAUCGGUCGAUGUUAUCUUUUUGACUCGAUCGGCACCUUACGAGAAAUCAAAGUUU
rnacentral:rRNA from 1 species